GGAUUAGAUACCCUGGUAGUCCAUGCCGUAAACGUUGGGCACUAGGUGUGGGGGACAUUCCACGUUUUCCGCGCCGUAGCUGACGCAUUAAGUGCCCCGCCUGGGGAGUACGGCCGCAAGGCUAAAACUCAAAGGAAUUGACGGGGGCCCGCACAAGCGGCGGAGCAUGCGGAUUAAUUCGAUGCAACGCGAAGAACCUUACCAAGGCUUGACAUAUACCGGAUCGUUCCAGAGAUGGUUCUUCCCCUUUGGGGUCGGUAUACAGGUGGUGCAUGGUUGUCGUCAGCUCGUGCCG
rnacentral:rRNA from 1 species